ACGGGUGAGUAACACGUGGAAACCUGCCUCAAGGGCUGGGGAUAACAUUUGGAAACAGAUGCUAAUACCGAAUAAAACUUAGUGUCGCAUGACAAAAAGUUAAAAGGCGCUUCGGCGUCACCUAGAGAUGGAUCCGCGGUGCAUUAGUUAGUUGGUGGGGUAAAGGCCUACCAAGACAAUGAUGCAUAGCCGUGUUGAGAGACUGAUCGGCCACAUUGGGACUGAGACACGGCCCAAACUCCUACGGGAGGCUGCAGUAGGGAAUCUUCCACAAUGGGCGAAAGCCUGAUGGAGCAACGCCGCGUGUGUGAUGAAGGCUUUCGGGUCGUAAAGCACUGUUGUAUGGGAAGAACAGCUAGAAUAGGAAAUGAUUUUAGUUUGACGGUACCAUACCAGAAAGGGACGGCUAAAUACGUGCCAGCAGCCGCGGUAAUACGUAUGUCCCGAGCGUUAUCCGGAUUUAUUGGGCGUAAAGCGAGCGCAGACGGUUUAUUAAGUCUGAUGUGAAAGCCCGGAGCUCAACUCCGGAAUGGCAUUGGAAACUGGUUAACUUGAGUGCAGUAGAGGUAAGUGGAACUCCAUGUGUAGCGGUGGAAUGCGUAGAUAUAUGGAAGAACACCAGUGGCGAAUGCGGCUUACUGGACUGCAACUGACGUUGAGGCUCGAAAGUGUGGGUAGCAAACAGGAUUAGAUACCCUGGUAGUCCACACCGU
rnacentral:rRNA from 1 species